rnacentral:rRNA from 1 species
GACGAACGCUGGCGGCGUGCUUAACACAUGCAAGUCGAACGGAAAGGCCCUGCUUUUGUGGGGUGCUCGAGUGGCGAACGGGUGAGUAACACGUGAGUAACCUGCCCUUGACUUUGGGAUAACUUCAGGAAACUGGGGCUAAUACCGGAUAGGAGCUCCUGCUGCAUGGUGGGGGUUGGAAAGUUUCGGCGGUUGGGGAUGGACUCGCGGCUUAUCAGCUUGUUGGUGGGGUAGUGGCUUACCAAGGCUUUGACGGGUAGCCGGCCUGAGAGGGUGACCGGCCACAUUGGGACUGAGAUACGGCCCAGACUCCUACGGGAGGCAGCAGUGGGGAAUAUUGCACAAUGGGCGGAAGCCGGAUGCAGCAACGCCGCGUGCGGGAUGACGGCCUUCGGGUUGGAAACCGCUUUCGCCUGUGACGAAGCGUGAGUGACGGUAAUGGGGAAAGAAGCACCGGCUAACUACGU